AGAGUUUGAUCAUGGCUCAAUUGAACGCUGGCGGCAUGCCUUACACAUGCAAGUCGAACGGUAACAGGUUAAGCUGACGAGUGGCGAACGGGUGAGUAAUGUAUCGGAACGUGCCCAGUCGUGGGGGAUAACUACUCGAAAGAGUGGCUAAUACCGCAUACGACCUGAGGGUGAAAGCGGGGGACCGUAAGGCCUCGCGCGAUUGGAGCGGCCGAUAUCAGAUUAGCUAGUUGGUGGGGUAAAAGCCCACCAAGGCGACGACCUGUAGCUGGUCUGAGAGGACGACCAGCCACACUGGGACUGAGACACGGCCCAGACUCCUACGGGAGGCAGCAGUGGGGAAUUUUGGACAAUGGACGCAAGUCUGAUCCAGCCAUGCCGCGUGCGGGAAGAAGGCCUUCGGGUUGUAAACCGCUUUUGUCAGGGAAGAAACGAGUUUCUCUAAUACAGAGACUUAAUGACGGUACCUGAAGAAUAAGCACCGGCUAACUACGUGCCAG
rnacentral:rRNA from 1 species